CGCGUAGGCGGCUUUGUAAGUCUGGAGUGAAAGUCCUCUUUUCAAGGGAGGAAUUGCUUUGGAAACUAUAGAGCUUGAGUGCAGGAGAGGUUAUCGGAAUUCCCGGUGUAGCGGUGAAAUGCGUAGAUAUCGGGAGGAACAUCGGUGGCGAAGGCGGGUAACUGGACUGCAACUGACGCUGAGGCGCGAAAGUGUGGGGAGCAAGCAG
rnacentral:rRNA from 1 species